GACGAACGCUGGCGGCGCGCCUAACACAUGCAAGUCGAACGAGCGAGAGAGAGCUUGCUUUCUUGAGCGAGUGGCGAACGGGUGAGUAACGCGUGAGGAACCUGCCUCAAAGAGGGGGACAACAGUUGGAAACGACUGCUAAUACCGCAUAAGCCCACGGUGCCGCAUGGCAUAGAGGGAAAAGGAGCAAUCCGCUUUGAGAUGGCCUCGCGUCCGAUUAGCUAGUUGGUGAGGUAACGGCCCACCAAGGCGACGAUCGGUAGCCGGACUGAGAGGUUGAACGGCCACAUUGGGACUGAGACACGGCCCAGACUCCUACGGGAGGCAGCAGUGGGGAAUAUUGCACAAUGGGGGAAACCCUGAUGCAGCGACGCCGCGUGGAGGAAGAAGGUCUUCGGAUUGUAAACUCCUGUUGUUGGGGAAGAUAAUGACGGUACCCAACAAGGAAGUGACGGCUAACUACGUG
rnacentral:rRNA from 1 species